GCCAGCUUAGCUCAGUUGGUAGAGCAGCUGAUUCGUAAUCAGCAGGUCAAGAGUUCAAGUCUCUUAGCUGGCUCCA
rnacentral:tRNA from 9 species